rnacentral:rRNA from 1 species
CUAGGGAACCCUUNGGAAAUGAAGGGGUGCCNUUCGGGGAGCNNUANGACNGNUGNUGCAUGGCUGUNGUCAGCUCGUGNCGUGAGGUGUUGGGUUAAGUCCCGCAACGAGCGCAACCCCUAUCUUCAGUUGCCAGCAGGUAAGGCUGGGCACUCUGGAGAGACCGCCCCGGUCAACGGGGAGGAAGGUGGGGACGACGUCAAGUCAUCAUGGCCCUUACGCCUGGGGCUACACACGUACUACAAUGGCGCGCACAAAGGGUAGCGAGACCGCGAGGUGGAGCCAAUCCCAAAAAACGCGUCCCAGUCCGGAUUGGAGUCUGCAACUCGACUCCAUGAAGUCGGAAUCGCUAGUAAUUCGAGAUCAGCAUGCUCGGGUGAAUGCGUUCCCGGGCCUUGUACACACCGCCCGUCACACCACGAAAGUCGGUUUUACCCGAAGCCGGUGAGCUAACUCGCAAGAGGAGCAGCCGUCUACGGUAGGGCCGAUGAUUGGGGUGAAGUCGUAACAAGGUAGCAAUCACUAGUGAAUUCGCGGCCGCCUGCAGGUCGACCAUAUGGGAGAGCUCCCNACGCNUG